AACGAACGUUGGCGGCGUGGAUUAGGCAUGCAAGUUGAGCGUACCCAGCAAUGGGGAGCAGCGUAAGGGGCAGUAAGGCAUGGGUACCUACCCGAGGUUCGGGCAUAGCCUGUAGAAAUACAGGGUAAUUCCCGAUGAUGUCGUAAGACCAAAGCUCCGGCGACCUCGGAGGGGCCCAUGUGAUAUUAGCUAAUUGGUGGGGUAACGGCCCACCAAGGCGAAGAUGUCUAGCGGGUGUGAGAGCACGACACGCGCCACUGGCACUGAGACACUGGCCAGACACCUACGGGUGGCUGCAGUCGAGGAUCUUCGGCAAUGGGCGCAAGCCUGACCGAGCGACGCCGCGUGUGCGAUGAAGGCCUUCGGGUUGUAAAGCACUGUCGAGGGGGAGAAAGGCGAAAGCUUGAUCUAUCCCUGGAGGAAGCACGGGCUAAGUUCGUGCCAGCAGCCGCCGUAACAC
rnacentral:rRNA from 1 species